AGAAUCAACGCUGGCGGCGUGCCUAACACAUGCAAGUCGCACGAGAAAGGGGAGCAAUCCCUGAGUACAGUGGCGCACGGGUGAGUAACACGUGAAUCAUCUACCUCCGAGUGGGGAAUAACUGAGAGAAAUCUUAGCUAAUACCGCAUAAUACCCACGGGUCAAAGCAGUAAUGCGCUUGGAGAGGAGUUCGCGGCAGAUUAGUUAGUUGGCGGGGUAAUGGCCCACCAAGACGAUGAUCUGUAUCCGGCCUGAGAGGGCGCACGGACACACUGGAACUGAAACACGGUCCAGACUCCUACGGGAGGCAGCAGUGGGGAAUUUUGCGCAAUGGGGGAAACCCUGACGCAGCAACGCCGCGUGGAGGAUGAAGCCCCUUGGGUGUAAACUCCUUUCGAUCGGGAAGAUAAUGACGGUACCGAUAUAAGAAGCCCGGCUAACUUCGCGCCAGCAGCCGC
rnacentral:rRNA from 1 species